rnacentral:rRNA from 1 species
GCAGCGGAGCGUGUGGUUUAAUUCGAUGCUACACGAAGAACCUUACCUGGGUUUGACAUGGACGUGGUAGGGAAGCGAAAGCGGACCGACCCUUCGGGGAGCGUUCACAGGUGCUGCAUGGCUGUCGUCAGCUCGUGCCGUGAGGUGUCGGGUUAAGUCCCGUAACGAGCGCAACCCCUGUCCUUAGUUACAAGUGUCUAAGGGGACUGCCGGCGGUAAGCCGGAGGAAGGUGGGGAUGACGUCAAGCCAGCAUGGCCCAUAUGUCCAGGGCUACACACACGCUACAAUGGCCAGUACAAUGGGCAGCGAGACCGCGAGGUGGAGCGAAUCCCAACAAAGCUGGUCAUAGUUCGAAUUGCAGGCUGCAACUCGCCUGCAUGAGGUCGGAAUCGCUAGUAAUCGCAGGUCAGCAUACUGCGGUGAAUACGUUCCCGGGCCUU